rnacentral:lncRNA from 1 species
CACACAACCCUACCAAAAUGGAGACCAAGAAAUGACCAAAACCAACGGCUGAAACUAAAGAGCUUGCUGCAUUAGCAAGGCUUCCAGUUGGGGUAUUUGAGGCCAAAACCACCACCAUCCAAUCAUCCUCGGAUCCAAGUCCAACUCCAGUGAACUUCGUAUCGUUCAGAUACUUUGCGAAUUGCGGUUGGUGAGUAUAAUUGGUAAGUACCAGAGUUGGGACCAACUUAGGCACACAAACAGGGAGAAUAACUCCAUCUGAUGCGCUGUUCGCAUCGAUUUUGCAUUUUCCCAAGUGCUUGGGAAGAUUGGCGAGCGGAGUCUGCGAGGUUGCCAGAAUGUUGGCUCCAUUGGUGGGGCUGCUGCAAGGCUGGUCUU